UGCUGCUUGAUUAAAUUAGCUGAGGAUGGCCACUGGGGAAAUUAGUGGCACCAAAGCCCUUUUAUUGUCACAUGAUAAGGGACAUAUUUUGUGACAGAAAUCA